rnacentral:rRNA from 1 species
CCCUUAGAUGUUCUGGGCAGCACGCGCGCUACAAUGGUCUUCGCAAACGGAUGCAUUCUCGAAGGAGAAUGCCAAUCUUGGAAUCUAUGCCUUGGUCGGGACAGUUGCUUGCAAUUUUUCGACUCGAACCAGGAAUUCCUUGUAAUCGUGAUUCAUCACAUCACGAUGAAUACGUCCCUGCCCUUUGUACACACCGCCCGUCGCUCCUACCGAUUGAAUGUGUUGGUGAGGAGCUCGGAUUGGCAGCAGUUGGUGGUUCGCCACCGGCUAUUGCUGAGAAGUCCUCCAAACCGCCCCAUUUAGAGGAAGGAGAAGUCGUAACA